CUAGCGGUAAAGGAAAAAGGGGAGGGGACCUGGUGGAAGUCUGUGUGGACUCACUACUUUCUCAGGUCCGGGGUGUCACUUUGAGGGCCUGGCUAGCCUCAUUGUGCACGUUACUCUGCUUGCAGAGGGUGAGACACUUCAGCCUCGAGCGCUGAAGCUGGUAGUGUUCUGUUAACCUCUCAGUGCCCGCGGAUACGGACACUGUUAGGUUGUGGUGGGAUUGGAUUCGGG